rnacentral:rRNA from 1 species
UACGGGGGGAGCAAGCGUUGUUCGGAUUCAUUGGGCGUAAAGGGUGCGUAGGCGGCGCGGUAAGUCGGGUGUGAAAUCUCGGGGCUUAACUCCGAAACUGCAUUCGAUACUGCCGUGCUUGAGGACUGGAGAGGAGACUGGAAUUUACGGUGUAGCGGUGAAAUGCGUAGAUAUCGUAAGGAAGACCAGUGGCGAAGGCGGGUCUCUGGACAGUUCCUGACACUGAGGCACGAAGGCCAGGGGAGCAAACGGG